GAAGGUAUUUUAGUGAAUAAACCACUUCCUUUUCACUCUUUGGUCCCCAGACAUCUCUAUCACUGCUGCCUCCCGCUCCUACUCUAACCAUCUGCUGUUCUAACAAUCACAGUAUCCAUUUGUCUGGGGAAUGAAGGUGGAGACAAUAGAAAGAGUCUUGGCAGAGGCAAGGAGGCAGGAUCAGGUACAGUUCAAUGGGACAAUGGAGCAUGUGUCAGAGGCUUGGAGGCCAAGUUCAGGAGCAAUCCUGCCUCCCACCUCUCCCUGAAAUGGACCAGUCUCCACCCAGCAUCUGCAGCUGCCUUCCCUGGGGGCGAUUUGAGGGGGGUGGAGUGUGCUCUGAGACACAGGAAAAAAGAGGAGGAUUUGGGAAGGAAGAGGACAGAUAAGGGCAUGUGUAGAUGGAGACUGGGCCUGGUGAUGCAGCCACAAGCCAACAAAUGCUGGCAAUCACCAGCAGGUGGCAGAAGUCAAGAAUGGAUCCUUCUCUAGAGGCAAGACGUUCCUACUGACAUCUGGAGUUUAGACUUCUGAUCUCUGUUCCUGUGAGAGAAUAAAAUGUCUGUGGUUUUAGUAAUAUGUUUUGGCAGCCUUAGGAAACUAAACCAAGUAUUACGUGGACAAAACCCACAGAUUCAGAAUUCUGAUAACCACACCCAUCGCUCAGUCUCAACCAGUGUGAUCUGUAUAAUCUCAUUCUGAAUAAAGGACUGAUGAUUUUUU